rnacentral:rRNA from 1 species
AAACAACUGCAGACGGCGGAUCGC